GACGAACGCUGGCGGCGUGCUUAACACAUGCAAGUCGAACGGAAAGGCCCUGCUUGUUUGGGGUGCUCGGGUGGCGAAAGGAUGGGUAGCGUGACAUUACCCUCCCCUUGACUUUAGGGUAGCUUCAGGCAGCUAGGACUAAUACCUCAUAUGCUCUCCUGCUGCAUGGUGGGGGUAGGAUAGUUUCGGCGGUUGGGGAUGGACUCGCGGCUUAUCAGUUUGGUGGUGGUGUAGUGGCUUACCAAGGCUUUGACGGGUAGCCGGCCUGAGAGGGGGACCGGCCACAUUGGGACUGAGAUACGGCCCAGACUCCUACGGGAGGCAGCAGUGGGGAAUAUUGCACAAUGGGCGGAAGCCUGAUGCAGCAACGCCGCGUGCGGGAUGACGGCCUUCGGGUUGUAAACCGCUUUCGCCUGUGACGAAGCGUGAGUGACGGUAAUGGGUAAAGAAGCACCGGCUAACUACGUG
rnacentral:rRNA from 1 species